UACGUAGGGGGCUAGCGUUGUCCGGAAUUAUUGGGCGUAAAGAGCUUGUAGGCGGUUUGUCGCGUCUGCUGUGAAAUUUCGGGGCUCAACCCCGAACUUGCAGUGGGUACGGGCAGACUAGAGUGUGGUAGGGGGAGACUGGAAUUCCUGGUGUAGCGGUGAAAUGCGCAGAUAUCAGGAGGAACACCGAUGGCGAAGGCAGGUCUCUGGGCCAUAACUGACGCUGAGAAGCGAAAGCAUGGGGAGCGAACAGG
rnacentral:rRNA from 1 species